AUUAGUGGCGGACGGGUGAGUAACGCGUGGAUAACCUGCCGUAUACAGGGGGAUAACACUUAGAAAUAGGUGCUAAUACCGCAUAAGCGCACGGUUCCGCAUGGAACAGUGUGAAAAACUCCGGUGGUAUACGAUGGAUCCGCGUCUGAUUAGCCAGUUGGCGGGGUAACGGCCCACCAAAGCGACGAUCAGUAGCCGGCCUGAGAGGGUGAACGGCCACAUUGGGACUGAGACACGGCCCAAACCCCUACGGGAGGCAGCAG
rnacentral:rRNA from 1 species